rnacentral:rRNA from 1 species
AGGAUGAACGCUAGCGGCAGGCCUAAUACAUGCAAGUCGAACGGUGGGUAGCAAUACUCAUAGUGGCGCACGGGUGCGUAACACGUAACUAACCUACCUAUACCUGGGGGAUAGCCCGCCGAAAGGCGGAUUAAUACCGCAUAAGGCUUGGAACUGGCAUCAGUUUUUAGUUAAAAGAUUUAUUGGGUAUAGAUGGGGUUGCGGGUCAUUAGCUAGUUGGUAGGGUAACGGCUUACCAAGGCGACGAUGACUA